GACGAACGCUGGCGGCGUGCUUAACACAUGCAAGUCGAACGGAAAGGCCCUGCUCUUGUUGGGUGCUCGAGUGGCGAACGGGUGAGUAACACGUGAGUAACCUGCCCUUGACUUUGUGAUAACUCCAGGAAACUGGGGCUAAUACCGGAUAGGAGCUCCUGCUGCAUGGGGGGGGUUGGAAAGUGUCGGCGGUUGGGGAUGGAUUCGCGGGUUAUCAGCUUGUUGGUGGGGUAGUGGCAUACGAAGGGUUUGACGGGUAGCCGGCCUGGGAGGGUGACCAGCGACAAUGGGCCUACGAUACGGACCAGACUGGUACGGUAGGCAGCAGUGGGAAAUAUGGCACAGUGGGCGGACGCCUGAUGCAGAGGCGCCGCGUGCGGGAUGCCGGCCUUCGGGUUGUAAACCGCUUUCGCCUGUGACGAAGCGUGAGUGACGGUAAUGGGUAAAGAAGCACCGGCUAACUACGUG
rnacentral:rRNA from 1 species